UACGUAGGGGGCAAGCGUUGUCCGGAUUUAUUGGGCGUAAAGAGCGUGUAGGCGGUUUGGUAGGUCCGCUGUGAAAACUCGAGGCUCAACCUCGAGACGCCGGUGGAAACCAUCAGACUAGAGUCCGGAAGAGGAGAGUGGAAUUCCUGGUGUAGCGGUGAAAUGCGCAGAUAUCAGGAAGAACACCGGUGGCGAAGGCGGGUCUCUGGGAAGUAACUGACGCUGAGAAGCGAAAGCAUGGGUAGCAAACAGG
rnacentral:rRNA from 1 species